AGUGAACGCUGGCGGUAGGCCUAACACAUGCAAGUCGAACGGCAGCACAGUAAGAGCUUGCUCUUACGGGUGGCGAGUGGCGGACGGGUGAGGAAUACAUCGGAAUCUACUUUUUCGUGGGGGAUAACGUAGGGAAACUUACGCUAAUACCGCAUACGACCUACGGGUGAAAGCAGGGGAUCUUCGGACCUUGCGCGAUUGAAUGAGCCGAUGUCGGAUUAGCUAGUUGGCGGGGUAAAGGCCCACCAAGGCGACGAUCCGUAGCUGGUCUGAGAGGAUGAUCGGCCACACUUGAACUGAGACACGGUCCAGACUCCUACGGGAGGCAGCAGUGGGGAAUAUUGGACAAUGGGCGCAAGCCUGAUCCAGCCAUACCGCGUGGGUGAAGAAGGCCUUCGGGUUGUAAAGCCCUUUUGUUGGGAAAGAAAAGCAGCAGGUUAAUACCCCGCUGUUCUGACGGUACCCAAAGAAUAAGCACCGGCUAACUUCGUG
rnacentral:rRNA from 1 species